rnacentral:snRNA from 1 species
AUACUUACCUGGCGUGGAGGCUACCUUGAUCAAGAAGGAGGUUCCUCCAGGGUGAGGCCCUUCCAUUGCACUUAGGUUGGGUUGACCCCUGCGGUGGCCCUGAUCCUAGCAUAUGUAAUGUUUCAGAUAACUCGGGCUCCACUGAUGUUCUAACUCAGGUUGACCCCUGCGAGUAUUCCAAAUGUGAAUACCUCGGGCGCGUAAUUUUUGGUAGCGGGGAUUGCGUACGCGCACAUCCCUA